rnacentral:rRNA from 1 species
GACGUAGGGCGCGAGCGUUGUCCGGAUUUAUUGGGCGUAAAGAGCUCGUAGGCGGCUUGUUGCGUCGGCUGUGAAAACCCAUGGCUCAACCGUGGGCUUGCAGCCGAUACGGGCAGGCUAGAGUUCGGUAGGGGAGACUGGAAUUCCUGGUGUAGCGGUGAAAUGCGCAGAUAUCAGGAGGAACACCGGUGGCGAAGGCGGGUCUCUGGGCCGAUAUCGACGCUGAGGAGCGAAAGCGUGGGGAGCGAACAGG